rnacentral:misc_RNA from 1 species
AAGUCGUAACAAGGUAACCGUAGGUGAACCUGCGGUUGGAUCAUUACCAAUUAACUCAUUAGGGCACUGAAAUUCACCGAUCAUGGUGUACUCAGGUUGCUAUAAUGUAACAUUUUGUGAACCUGUAUGUUUUUGGCAGUUCAGCGAAACUGUAAUAAGACGCUUAGAGCGGGCUGCCACCCAACCAAACCAAAAUUUUAAUUAAUGCCUUACGUUUUACUUUUAAAGUUUUGCUGGAGUUCUGCUCCUUCAAAUACCUAAAAAUCAAAAACAACUUUUGACAACGGAUCUCUUGGCUCUC